rnacentral:lncRNA from 1 species
GCAGCGCAGGGGCUGCUGCUUCGCCACGAAGGAUUUCCCGUGCCGUGGGAGCGGGUUCAGGACCGCUGGUCGGACCUGAGAGUCCCAGCUGUUCUGCGAAUUAAAAGCCACUAUUUGAAGACCGGCGCACAGCUUCCAGCUGGCCGCCAGAAGGGUCCUCCGCAGGACACAGGUGGGAAGCUCAGCUGUGUAAUUUGUAGUAACGAAGCAGAAGUUACAACGAAAAGACAAGUUUUCCUGUGCUUGGCAGGGCCCCCCUCCCCCCCACCAAGGCCUGCAGUGGAUAGAGCCUAGCAGAUCCUGGACAAUACUAUCCUAAAAGCUACAUCUCUGACAGUGAUUUCCAGCGACUUUGUCAACACGGUCCGCCCCCAGCAAGUAUAAGAGGAAAAACAACAAAUGUCUUUACUGCCUUGUCUUUCCCCCUUGCCACUUGUCAUUAUUCAAGUUUUGUAAGUUCCUGAUUUCCAUUCAGUGCAGCUGCAAGGUUACCAGCUGUGCUUGCGUUGCAAGACCUGUCACAGUUUGAUUAACUGCCUUCUUUCUGCUUCUGUAAGCCCUCUUGCCUGCCCCGCGAGUUUCACACCAUCAAAUUCCUGCUGCACCAUUCAAACUAGCCAACCCCCUUUCAGAAGUGUGUAUAAAAGUCAAGCCCCCUGUCUUUCUUCGGGGCUCAUGCUAGGCCCGAGUGCAUUCAAUAAAAUCCUUCUGUUCCACCCGUUGGUCUCUUUGUUCUCCUGAUUCCCGCAACAGUAGUAGGGGACUGCGUUCGUGCUUUCCCCUGGUCUUUCAUGGUAUGAAUAAUAGACAGCAUUUGUUUUUUUCAUCUAUAGUCGCAGGCCCAGUCUCAGUGAUUGUAUGGUGUGGUCAGCUGUUUUUGUUUUUGUGAGACCUUAUUUUCUUGUUUACUGUCCUGGGACAGAUGUCUGUAGUCACUUGUUUCCUCAGGAGGCAAAUUUCAGUCUCUGUGGGGGAGGUCUCUCAUGUUAGCUGUGGUGGUACUUGGUG